rnacentral:rRNA from 1 species
AUUGAACGCUGGCGGCAUGCCUUACACAUGCAAGUCGAACGGCAGCGGACCUUCGGGUGCCGGCGAGUGGCGAACGGGUGAGUAAUAUAUCGGAACGUGCCUUUCAGUGGGGGAUAACGUAGCGAAAGUUACGCUAAUACCGCAUAUUCUGUGAGCAGGAAAGCAGGGGAUCGCAAGACCUUGCGCUGAUUGAGCGGCCGAUAUCAGAUUAGCUAGUUGGUGAGGUAAAGGCUCACCAAGGCGACGAUCUGUAGCGGGUCUGAGAGGAUGAUCCGCCACACUGGAACUGAGACACGGUCCAGACUCCUACGGGAGGCAGCAGUGGGGAAUUUUGGACAAUGGGCGCAAGCCUGAUCCAGCCAUGCCGCGUGAGUGAAGAAGGCCUUCGGGUUGUAAAGCUCUUUCGGCCGGGAAGAAAUCGCACAGGUUAAUACCCUGUGUGGAUGACGGUACCGGAAUAAGAAGCACCGGCUAACUACGUG